UACGAAAUUAGCGAACGUGCGUCAACAAUUUAUUUUCUCAUUAUUUAUACAUAUAUAUUCUUUCAUGUAUUUUCUCAUCAGAAACAGUUUCAAUCUGCAAAGAUUAAUCACAUCAAAAUUCUCAUAGCCAUCUCCUAACUUUAUACAACAAUUUUCCCAAACGGUCUGUCAUUUGCAUAUCUACUAUAACCUACCCCAUUUCAUCGUUCUAAAACGUGCGUCUAUAAACCCAACCGCAAGCCUCGCAAGAUCCUCCCAUCGCUAUAGACUUCUACUUUUCUCCAUCCAGAUUAAAAUCAUCGCGUGACGGUUUCCAAAAACUAAAGCUUAUCACAGUAAACGUUUAUAUAUAACUGUUGAUUACACGUUAAAUCAAUAGUGUGUAACUUUAUUAAUAGUUUCAGGAUAGAGUAAGUUUAUUUCUUUUUAUAAAUAAAAAAAAAAAAACGCAGAAACACGGUUACAUUCAACCGUGCGGUAGGGUGGUCCGCCAUGAUCACGCGGUGAACGCGCAAAGAUAUCUGGGAAGGAUGCGCGCGCAGCUAUUCGGAUCCAUCGAGCUUUACGAGCCCAUUAUACGUUGUUAUAUAUUCGAUACAUACACCUGACUGAUUUCAUACGUACCCUCUUUUUUUCGUGCACUCGAUUCAAGUGAUUUUCAGAUAUUUUUUACACACGUGCAUUUACGUUCGAUGUAUGUAACGACGUAUGUAACGGAUAUAUGUGACGAGAAAUCGGUAUAUAGUAUCAUUCCAAUGAAGUGUAAAAAUACGUAUAGAGUGAGCCAUCUAAUUGAGAUUAAUUGUGGAUUAGAGAGUAAUAUAUUAUGGGAUAUAACAGUGGCUGGAAUAUAAAAGAGAAAAAUCUCUUAUGAGAUGUUUUUUUGCAUCACAAUGAUGAAAUAUAAAUGAAAAGUAAAAGUUAAUACCGCAUAAAAUAAAACUGUUGCUAUAAAGAA